CGUCUAUAUACGUAUAGCAUAUCAAUAAGCGGAGGAAAAGAAACUAACUAGGAUUCCCUCAGUAACGGCGAGUGAAGCGGGAAGAGCUCAAAUUUGAAAUCUUCAAGGUUCUACCUUGACGAAUUGUAGUUUAAAGAAGUGUUUUCUGUUGGGGUUUUGGUAAAAGUUCUUUGGAAUAGGACAUCAUAGAGGGUGAGAAUCCCGUAUUUGACCAUUAUUUCCAACUUUGUGAUACACUUUCAAAGAGUCGGAUUGUUUGGGAAUGCAGUCCAAAAUGGGUGGUAAAUUUCAUCUAAAGCUAAAUACUGGCGAGAGACCGAUAGCGAACAAGUACCGUGAGGGAAAGAUGAAAAGAACUUUGAAAAGAGAGUUAAACAGUACGUGAAAUUGUCAAAAGGGAAGCGUUUGACACCAGUGUUGUUUUCUCGAAAAUCAAUUAAAAAUGGUGGAUUUUCGUGUUGUAUUGACUUUAUCAGCUUUCUGCACCUUUUUCUUGUCUUUUUUAAUGCACUUUUCGUUUAACAAGUCAACAUCAAUUUCUUUUGUUGUAAAAGGGUCAUUGGAAGGUGGCUUUCUUUUCGGAGAAAGUGUUUAUAGCCUUUGGACUUCUGCAAUCGGAGAGAUUGAGGUCUGCAGCGUAGAUCCUUCGGGGUUAGAUAGCAUUUGUGCUAAGUUAUAGCCUUUCAUAGACAACUUGUUGACUAUGCUCAGUCAUGUAGCUUACUCGCUUGUAGUAUUUAACCUACGCUUAGGAUGUUGACGAUCAGCUGAGCGCG
rnacentral:rRNA from 1 species